CUGUCAAACCCGGGCCGGCUAUUUAUACCCCGCGGGACCCGCCGCCCUCGGCCCCCACCAGCCCGCCCACCAGGCCUCGAUGGCUCUCUCGAAUCUCGCCCGCCCUGUAGCCCCCAACUUCUCCCAAGCACGCCUUCUCAGCUCACAUCUUUCAAAAGGACCACGUGGAGAGAGAGAAAGGGAGACUCUCAGACGGCAGCAUCACCGAAAUAACCUUUCCAGUGAAUGAGAUAGAUGACAGAGGUGUCAGCCAGAUAGAGCUCUGUGGACCCAGUGCGCAUCCGAACAAUUUACCUCGUUCUCAAAGAAAACCAGCUCUGGAAGAGCUUGACAUGAUUGGGAGCAAAUCUAGUAGAAAAAGAAAAGAAAGCAGCAUUUGGGACAGAGACACUCAUAGAAUGGAGAAUGAGGGUCGCAUCAAGGCCACACUGUGAACGGCCACUCAGGGUUCUUUCCCAGCCUGACCCUCAACUUCAGCCCUGUUCCCUGUGACCCAGACUCAAAUGGACAAAGCCCAGUCCCAGACUCCCAGAUCUGACCUUCUGUACUGUGAGAAGUGAGGGUAAAGUCGCCAUCACUUUACAAAAGUUUGUUUGUAAAGUGUCCUUGACCUUGACUCCAAUUAAAUUAUAUUGCGACCAGUGGAACACAGGUGUCUUAGUUAUUUCUCAUGUUCCCCAAACUGAUAAGUUCCAGAGAUAUGAUUCUCAUGGUGAAGAGGGAAAUUUGCUUCCUCAUGAAAUUGUGAUUUUUACCAAAAUAUCAACUUUAAGGACGCCAAAAUGAAAGUGAACCGGUACCUACUAUGUUCAUUACUUGCAUAGCAUAGAGCUCUGUCCUGGGAGUUUGGGGGUCUAGGUUUCCAUACUCAGAUUUGCUAACUGGAUUUGUGACUUAUGACAAGCCACAUAUACUCUCUAAGCCUGAGUUUUCUCAUCUGUGAAAUGAAAAUUAUAAUAUCUACCUUAUCUUCCCCGAAGUUUGUUGUUAUGAGGAUUGAAUGAGAUAACAUAUAAAAAUGGUUGUAACCUAGAAAGCCAAAGGUGUUACUAACCGAUGUAAAAUUAAACCAUCCCUUUUGGAUUUGAAAAUGAAACCAUUUGGGAACCCAAUUUCACGUUUGACAUAGUAAAAAGGGUUCUGUUUGUUAUAAAAGUUUAGCAGCAGUGUAACCACUAUAACUGUCCCCAAGGGCUUAGAGACAGACACCUUAUAAACCAUCAUGAUCGAGACGUACAAGGAGAAAAGUUUCAGCUGCAGUGAAAUCAAACGGUCCCCAGAUCUGAACGGUCUAUGUAAGAUUUUUUUCUAAUAAUGUUUAAAUUUUUAAAUUGUGGUAAUCAAUACAUAAUAGAAAAUCUACCAUCUUAACUAUUUUUAAGUGCACAGUUCAGUAGUGUUAAGUAUUGAUACAUUCACAUUGUGGUGCACAGAC